UUUAAACAUUAUAAAGUGGUCAUCUCCUUUUCUAUUUGAAACAAUUAAAAUAAGGGGAAAUAUAUGGCUAAACUUAUGAUGUUUUUCUAUGUUAUGAUAUACUUUUUUGUUCUUGUUGCUUGUCAGAAAAGAAGACGAAGUACUGAAUGCCGUAAUGAUUCUGAUUGUGAAAAAAUGGUUAAGUGUGUGCUUCCUAGAAUUGCUCGGUGUAUCAAGUAUCGAUGUCAAUGUCGCAAUUUUCUUGAAUCAUUCGAAUAAUCAUUAGAGUACAAAGCCAAAGAGAAUACAAAAAGGCCUUAGAGAGAAGAAUGGUUUCUUGCUCUAGCAAAAGAUAUAAGAAAUAUAAUUUAUGAUGAAAAAAUAUAAGAUAUGUAAUUUAAUUACUGUGUUGGCACUCAAUACUUUAAAUUGUUUUUUUCCUUUUCAAAUUUCAAAUGCAGUUAUGGCUUUGCACUAUAACAUAAUGAUAAUUAAAUGAAAUAAAGCAUAAAUAUUAUUGUUUAGAUUAUCA